CUUAAUAAUUUGAGCAGAAAAUCCGUUGGCUUUAUUGACCGUGAGGGUUCAAGUCCCUCUACCCCC
rnacentral:tRNA from 1 species